CACGUGAGGGCGCAAGCGUUGUCCGGAAUUAUUGGGCGUAAAGAGCUCGUAGGCGGUCUGUUGCGUCUGCUGUGAAAACUCGGGGCUUAACCCCGAGCCUGCAGUGGAUACGGGCAGACUAGAGGUAGGUAGGGGAGAAUGGAAUUCCCGGUGUAGCGGUGAAAUGCGCAGAUAUCGGGAGGAACACCGGUGGCGAAGGCGGUUCUCUGGGCCGUUACCUGACGCUGAGACGCGAAAGCGUGGGGAGCGAACCGGGAUUGAGA
rnacentral:rRNA from 1 species